CGGGGAUGAUGGGGGGAGGUGUACACGGCAAGGACAUAAUAAUGUAGUGCGAAGCAAGAAGUGGAGGAGACAUGUACGUGAAAUGAUGUAAUAUGCGGGGAGAGGCACGAAGAAUAUGUUUGGAAAAGGUAAAUCAGUGUCCUCAGCAAGCUAUGUCUCGGCACGCAGGUGAAUGGCACUGGAGGGCUUCGUUGUGGCGGCGCGGAGACGGCGGCUUGGAUAAAGGUUAAGCUAAGAGUGUAUUAUGUAGUAAGGCCUCUCGGUACUGCCUUGCAUUCCUGGCUGGCUUCAGAGAUGAUCCUUCAGCUAAAACGUUAUGUGCUGAUGUGCCGGGCAGGUAGCAGCGGCGACGGGGACAGCUGACGGCGGGGCGGCAGUGGCGGGGAAGUUACACCUGAGGGUUUACAGCUUCAGCAACCUCGGAGGACAGAUGGCUGGAGGCGGCUUCUGGGUGACCCUCCGCUUGUACCGCUCUCUACCGCACCUUCUUCAGGUUUGACGAGGAACACCACCCUGCAGAAUCUGACCUUGACUUGGAAGGCAGAAGUGUUCCUCUAACGUGCAAGAAGACUGUGGGAGCGUGUGAAAGAGGGAUAGAGCCGAACAGCGAUAGGAAGAGGACAUACCAACUUAAUCUAAACAAGAAUGACGGACUAGAAGAGCAGGAUGAAGGUUGCCUGAAGAUUCCACCUCCUACGCACCCACAGCAAAAUGGAAAUCACCAGUAAUGGCGCCAUGAAUAUCAGCAUUGGGAGGCACGGUGUUCUUAUCUUCGUCCCCAAGUGAACGCGGCAGCUGUGUGUUUAGGGGACGGAUUAUCGUGGCGGCUUGAGGAGAGGCAGUGAGCAAGAGCAACAACGGAUGCAAAGGUUAUGUGUUCUGGCGUCCUUCACCUCCACCAUCCUCCCCCACCACGUCCACAUACAGUUUUAUCUCCGCUGCUCACCUGGACGAGAGAGGGAUCAUCUCCCGGCAACGUUUCCCUCAGGUACUGUUUCCGUGCGUCAGUCUGUGUACAUCGAUCCAGGUGCAAGGUUUGAUUGGUAAUUACCUUCUUCAUUUGAUUCAGG